CACCGCGGUUAUACGAGAGGCCCAAGUUGACAAAUACCGGCGUAAAAUGUGGAUAGUAUACAGUAUUUCACUAAAGUCAAACAUCUUCAAAGCUGUCAUAUGCACUCGAAGACAGGAGGUUCUUCCACGAAAGUGACUUUAAAUAAUAUUACCCCACGAAAGCUAGGAAA
rnacentral:rRNA from 1 species